UAAGAAAGGAGAACCCAGACGGGGAGAUGUAGUCAGAGAGCAGGGGAGGAAAGCUGUGUGAGUGGAGAUUGGGAGGAGGGAAGAUGGCUGAGCGUGUCGCCUAGGCUCCAGAUCUAAACGCUAAGACCCAUGAGAAAAUGAAGACAUAGAUGAGAAAAAGACAUCUGGCCAUUUAUAAAUAUGUCCUAACUCCAACAGGGGGUGAGAUAUUUUAAGGGCAGAUUAAAAAGCAUCAAAAUACAAGUAAGAAAAUAGAAUUUAAUACCAUACUCAUCUGGGUGGAUAGAUAUAUGUCCCAGCAGUGGUGUCUUUGUACAACCAGGAAGAUCUGUGGACUUUGACGAGAAAGCGUCACCUUUAGCAACACGGAACUGUCGGAGCGCCACCCUAACGGCACCACGGAUGUGGCAAGGACACACUUCCACCCCUCUGACCCACGUGCGGUUCACUCGUCUUCACUGCUGCGGCAUCUUCUCUCACUCGCUUAGAUCAGACUGCAUCUUCCCAUCCCUCCCUGCGACGUUUCCCCUGGAGUCUGUAACUGACCAAACCUUCUUGAUUGCUGUCUGCUGCUCAUACACGUUCUCUGGCCUGUUUGUCUGGUAAUAAAUGCUCUCCUUCCUUGGC
ensembl:lncRNA LOC102554533 uncharacterized LOC102554533